ACGUAGGGUGCCAGCGUUGUUCGGAAUCACUGGGCGUAAAGGGCGUGUAGGCGGAUUGUUAAGUCAGGUGUGAAAUCCCGCAGCCUAACUGCGGAACUGCGCUUGAUACUGGCAAUCUUGAGUACGAUAGAGGGUGACAGAAUUCCUAGUGUAGUAGUGAAAUACGUAGAGAUUAGGAGGAAUACCGGAGGCGAAGGCGGUCACCUGGGUCUGUACUGACUCUAAGGCGCGAAAGCGUGGGGAGCAAACAG
rnacentral:rRNA from 1 species